rnacentral:lncRNA from 1 species
CAGGUGUCAGCCUGGACACUCUCCAAGUGCCUCCUCAGGGGGAUUGAGGGGCCUUCUUGUUUGGGAACAGUGAUCUUUUGUUAACACACACACAGAAAGUCAGUUACUCCUCACAGAGUCUGCUGAGGCAGGGCAAGCCCUACAUACAAAUGCUCAGGUGGUGGGGAGAGAGAGAGGAAGAUGGCUUGCAAACACGUGAGCGGUGAUGAGAGCAAACUCAGGAAACCGUAUAGCCUCCAUGCUGAGAUGUGCAUGUGUUCCCAUGGGGUCCACUGACUGACGGAGACCAUGGCACUGGGAUGAAAGAAGAAUUGCACGGAGAUUCGAGCUCACACAGAUAUGUUAACCAACCUGGAUUUAAAUUCAAAAUCUGUAUGCAGGUCAAGAAGCAACAGUUAGAACAGGACAUGGAACAAAGGACUGGUUCAAAAUUGGGAAAGAAGUAUAUCAAAGCUGUAUAUUGUCACUCUGCUUAUUUAACUUAUAUGCAGAGUACAUCAUAUGAAAUGCCAGGCUGGAUAAAGCACAAGCUGGAAUCAAGAUUGCCAGGAGAAAUAUCAAUAACUUCAGAUAUACAGAUGACAUCACCCUUAUGGCAGAAAGCAAAGAAGUAAAGAGCCUUCUGAUGAAGAUGAAAGAGGAGAGUGAAAAGGCUGCCUUAAAAUUCAACAUUCAGAAAAAGAUCAUGGCAUCCAGUCCCAUCACUUCAUAACAAAUAGAUGGCACUGCAGAUGGUGACUGCAGCCAUGAACUUAAGAUUCUUACUCCUUGGAAGAAAAGCUAUGACCAAGCUAGACAGCAUAUUAAAAAGCAGAGACAUUACUUUGCUGAAAAAGGUCCAUCUAGUUAGAGCCUGGAGAAUCCCAAGGACAGAGGAGCCUGUUGGGCUGCCGUCUAUGGGGUCGCACAGAGUCAGACACGACUGCUGCAACUUAGCAGCAGCAGCAGCAGUUAAAGCUAUGGUUUUUCCAGGAGUCAUGUAUGGAUGUGAGAACUGGACCAUAAGGGAGGCUGAGCACUAAAGAAUUGAUGCUUUUGAACUGUGGUGCUGGAGAAGACUCUUAAGAGUCCCUUGGACUGCAAGGAGAUCCAACCAGUCCAUCCUAAAGGAAAUCAGUCCUGAAUAUUCAUUGGAAGGACUGAUGCUGAAGCUGAAGCUCCAGUACUUUGGCCACCUGAUGCAAAGAGCCGACUCCUUAGAAAAGACCCUGAUACUGGGAAAGAUUGAAGGCAGGAGGAGAAAGAAAUGAUAGAGGACAAGAUAGUUGGGUGACAUCACCAACUCAAUAAACAUGAGUUUGAACAAGCUCCA